GUAAAGCAGGUCUGGUUUAAUGGUAGCCACACUGGCCUUAUAUGACAAUAUCCCUGCAAGGGGUACGCCCACAGGGAGCUUGUGGGUGACUGAGUUACAAUAUUAUAAACCAAUAACAACAGGGUUACCAGACAGGACACCCCCACAUACAGAACACAAUCCCUCACCUCUGCCUGGGAGAUAAUUGAGUCAGAUAUUUUGUUGUGUACCAAAUUAUCUCCAGGCAAAAAAACUAAUUUUUACAAAGUCUCCAAAGUACCCCAAAACACAUAAUAUCCCCACAAAUGUCACAUUCCCUGAUCUGGGUGACCAACAUAUCCAAAAAUCACCCAGAUCAGUUUAGGGGUUCAGGAUUUUCCUGGAAAUCACAUUUUGACCGACCGCAUGCAUGGUCCCAUGCCCAAAACAGUUCCAGAGAAUUUGGCUGUGCGGUCGGUCUACUUCGUAAAUUUUAAGUAAAACACAAAUUAUUGAACAUACAGCUUCGGAAGUGAUCUUAGGUUAUGUCCAUCGUUCGGGUGUUUAUUUUCACCAAACGCCGUUUGACUCCCGUUCAAAUAGUCUAACAUCCAUGGAAGGUGAAUGUUAGUAUACACGACGACCAAACACCGCUCAUGGUGCUUGUGGCUUAAGAUGGCCACCGCCACGUGGUCUAAUGUCGACCACUUCGAACUGUUUCGACAGUUCGGGAGUUCGAAGUGUACUAGGUACAUAAUGUUAAUAGGUGGCACACUUCUUGUACAGGUGGUUUGUUCAGUAAGAGAAUUAUAGGGAGAAAUAAAAUAAAGGGGAAUGCAAUGUCCUGAGCACAUAGCUGAAUGAAGAAAAAGAGAAUGGUAGUCCAUGAUUAUAGUGAGCCGUCACACUCUGUAUUGGAUGUACUGCUUUAUUUGUAAUAAAUAAUAAUUUUAAAUAAAGGCCCAUUUCUCCACAUAGGUAAACCAAGUUAAGUUUCGAUAAAAUGUUUGUUAAAAGGCCUGGCAUGUACCAAUCCAUACAACAGAAAGAAAGAGAAAAUUAUCUCUGUGUUGUACAGUCUAUCUUGCUAAGUAAUUACAUGAUUUUGCUAUUACAUGACAAAAAGUCAUGAUUUUAUUAAAGUCAGGGAGGCAAGUAUUGCAUAUCCCUUCCUUUACUGUCCACCAAUAGCAGCAAAGAAUAAAAAAACAGUAAGAAAAACAUGGUAUGCAUAGUAAUAUAAGCCACUCCCAGACCAAGUCCCAAUAUAAUAUUCAGCACCUCCCUUAACUCCUCUUUUUUUCAAGAUGCAAACACAAUAAAACAAACAAGAAACAGGAAUUGAUGAAUCAGUACAACAUUGCAAUUAAAUCCAGUCGGAGUAAAACCAGGCAACAAUCCUGCAAGUUGGAACUAAUCCAUAACAGGAACAGGAAUUCGCCAACCGAAAAGAUCCCGUCAAAGGAUAAACAUCAGGAAUCCAUGGAACGAAUCUGGGUGUGAAAACAUAAAUGAAACAGGAGCCACACGGUUACUUUGGUCCUUGCAACUGAGUGUAAACUUAAGCCAUAAACAGACCCUUAUCUUUAAAUCAAUCAUGAAAAUAAAAUUCACGAAAAGUAGAAUCCAGUGACCAGAUCCUCCAACCGUGCUACUGAGGUAAUCAUCGACGAAGCCGAAGGAUCCCGAACAGAAUGGGCUCCAAACACCGAAGUAACACCCAUUUCAACCAACGAGCCAGGGUAGUACCCGUCACCGGGGAGAAUGGAGGACGAAGGGAAAGAAAAAGAUGAGCUGAUGACGACUGAUGAGGCCCGGUGCGAACCUUGUACUUGCGUAAACAGGCCACCAGUCAAAACGCUGGUGCCUAGGGAAAAGUCUGAAAAGAUAAUCAUGGAUCUAAUCAAAGUCUUUGUGUGCCUGUAUAUAUUAACAGUCACCCCGUCGGGAGUGAAGGAACAUGUGUCGAAAUGCAAGGCACGUACGUCCGAAACCCUCUUACAGGAUACCAGACAAAAAAUAAAAAAGAGAGUGACCAAUUUAGCCGACAAUUGGCGUAAGGAAAGAUCUGCAUUAGAGGGCCACGAGUCAAACAGCGAUAAUAGGAUUGAAACAUCCCAAGUGGAGAAAUACCGUGGCCUGGACAGACAAGAAAUGCGGGAGCCACGUGGAAGACAGCACACUAACGGGUGUUGUCCUGCUGGACAACCCUCGAAGCCUUGAUGGGCCGAAGAAAUGGCUGAUCGAUAUACAUUGAUCGUCCACUACGCCUGGCCAGCGUUACAGUGGCAGUUACAGGGGCUGACAUGGGAUUCCACAUCCCUAGCCAGGCACCAGCUAGCUCAAGAUCUCCAAGCUGACCCAUAUGAUCAUCGAGUUCCAGGAGCCCAUGCAUCUGCCAGGAGGCAUUGAGCUGUGUCCAAAACUCCAAAGACCUGCCAGGGUUCCCCGGAAAUCGCCUAGCAAUAAGCAGCAGGGAGCCUUCUAGGAGGAGUGGAUGGCAAUUUUCUGACAGGUCUCGAAGCAGGUCUGGAUGGGCUGGCAACAACCACCGCCAUCUCCAGAAGUUGAGGGAACCACAACCGAGUCCCCCAAAAUGGGGUUAAGAGAACCAGCUACGCCUCUUGGUGGGCGAACCUUAAGGAGUACCCUGGGAAGCAUGGCAAAUGGAGGCAAAGCGUAGAGAAGCGGUCCAUGCCAAUCUUGCAGGAAAGUGUCCAUUGCCGCUGUGGCUGGGUCUGGACGCCAGCUGAAGAAACGAGGUAGAUGGGCAUUGAGCCGCAAGACAAACAGAUCGAUGGCAAAAUAACCCCAAGGGGACGAGAUAACGUAAAACACCUCUACAUCUAAUCUCCAAUCGCUGCUGUCAGAAAGAUAACAUGAAUUCCAGUCCACCUGGACAUUGUGCAGGCCCGGUAGAUAUUCUGCCUGGACCACCAAGUUCUGUGUCAGACAAAACUCCCAGAAAUCCAUUGCCAGAUGAGCCAGUAAUGCCGAUUGAGUUCUGCCCAUGUGGUUGAUAUUUCGUACUGCUAUGUUGUCCAUACGUAGGCGAAUGCAGGCAUGGACAAUCCCCUUUGCAAAACUCCUAAUUGCAAACAAUCCCGCUAGAAGUUCCAAGGCUUUGAUGUGCAUUCUGGAUUCGCUCUCCGACCAGCGACCUCCUGUCAACACACCCUCGCAGUGGGCACCCCAGCCAUGGAGACUCGUGUCCAAGUCUAUGGUGAACUCCGGCUGAGAUUCUUAUAUGCACAUAGGUUGUAAAUCCACCAACGUAACUCAUCCUUCGUUACCCUGUCCAAGGAGAUCAGGUCUGUAUAUGACACUCCCUCACAGAGAUGUGCAAUCUUCAACCGUUGGAGAGCUUGAUAGUAAAAAGGGACCGGGAACACAGCUUGUAUUGACGAGUGAUGUGUGGCCGGAGUAGCACCCUGCGAAGUUCCUUGUGGAUCGUUUACAUUUUGGACGAAGGUAAGCUCAAGAAGUUCUCUUCCAAGUCCAUGAGAAAACCCAAGAACUCCAUGCAUCUGGAUGGUGUUAAACAGGAUUUUUCACAAUUUAUAAGGAAACCCAGCCGGGUCAGAAGAUACACCAUCCAUCGCAGAUGUCGUAGGAAAACGGAGCGGUCCUGAGCCAUGAGCAGAAUAUCAUCCAGAUAUAGGAUAAGGCGCACGCCCUGACUGCAGAGCCAUGCCAUAGCAGGACGUAGCAGCUUGGGGAAGCACCAAGGCGCCGAAGAGAGACCAAACAGAAGACAGGUGAAGCGCUAUAUGUGAUUCCUCCAGCGGAACUCUCAAAACUUCGUUCGCCGGCACCUAGCCACCCUUUUUCUCCACCAGGAAGAUAUUGUUGAUGACCCCCCAAGGGUGCAGCAGAGCUAACUCUAUAGCUUCCUUGGUACGUAAGGCCGACAACUUGUCGAUCAAUCUGCGAUUCUGAAGGGAAAAACAGAUCGGUGGAGGCGUAGGGAUGUAACGAGGCGUUCCCACUAACUAUGUGGAAGCCCCCCUCCGUAUCGAGAACCCAUGUAUCGGAUGUGAUCGACGGCCAGGCUGAGGAAAAAUGACGGAGUCUGCCCCCUACACAAACAUGAGAAAAAACAUGAGGUAGAAUAAAGUUUACCGUAUGGGUGUCUGCCCCUGGAAUUCCCUCUGAAUCCCCUUGACCACCAUGGUCGACUACAGGAUGAGAAGAAGGAUGAUCGGGUCUUCGCCUCCUGGUAGUUGGGCGCUGGCUGAAGGGGUCUCGUCCC